GAAAUGCGAUAAGUAAUGUGAAUUGCAGAAUUCAGUAAAUCAUCGAAUCUUUGAACGCACCUUGCGCUCCUUGGUAUUCCUUGGAGCAUGCCUGUUUGAGUAUCAUGAAAUCUUCAAAGUAAAUCUUUUGUUAACUCAAUUGGUUUCUACUUUGGUAUUGGCGGUCUUUGCAGCUUCACACCUGCUCCUCUUUGUUCAUUAGCUGGAUCUCAGUGUUAUGCUUGGUUCCACUCGGCGUGAUAAGUUAUCUAUCGCUGAGGACACUGUAAAAGGUGGCCAAGGUAAAUGCAGAUGAACCGCUUCUAAUAGUCCAUUGACUUGGACAAUACUUUUAUGAUCUGAUCUCAAAUCAGGUAGGACUACCCGCUGAACUUAAGC
rnacentral:misc_RNA from 1 species